rnacentral:rRNA from 1 species
CCUACGGGGGGCUGCAGUGGGGAAUAUUGGACAAUGGGGGCAACCCUGAUCCAGCCAUGCCGCGUGUGUGAAGAAGGCCCUCGGGUUGUAAAGCACUUUCAGUGAGGAAGAACGCCUGGUGGUUAAUACCCAUCAGGAAAGACAUCACUCACAGAAGAAGCACCGGCUAACUCCGUGCCAGCAGCCGCGGUAAUACGGAGGGUGCGAGCGUUAAUCGGAAUUACUGGGCGUAAAGCGCGCGUAGGUGGCUUGAUAAGCCGGUUGUGAAAGCCCCGGGCUCAACCUGGGAACGGCAUCCGGAACUGUCAAGCUAGAGUGCAGGAGAGGAAGGUAGAAUUCCCUGUGUAGCGGUGAAAUGCGUAGAGAUCGGGAGGAAUACCAGUGGCGAAGGCGGCCUUCUGGACUGACACUGACACUGAGGUGCGAAAGCGUGGGUAGCAAACAGGAUUAGAUACCCCUGUAGUC